GCCCCUCCCCCGCUCCCUCCCAGCCGCCAGCCCAGCUGGCAGGCGGCGAGGAGGAGGAGGAGAGGGGUCGCUGGGCGCGCGCUCCAUCUCCCUCCAAGGAAACGGCGGGCAGCAGCAGCAGCAGCCGGCGCAUUGGUUUCGGAGCGCCUGCCAGGGGUUGCAGCAGAUGCUGCUCGCGGCUUAGGCGGCUUCCGUGUUCCUGCUUUGGUCCGAGAGGCCGAGCUGUUCCGCAGCAGGCAGGGAGAAGGGCAGGCUGUGUGUCUGCUGCUUCCCUCGGAAGCCCCGAGGACAUCUCAUGAGAGUUCAAGGCGUAUGAUCAGAAAACGUCUGGAGCAAAUGGGUUAGUUCAGAUUGGGAAGCGUGUGAGAGAGAAAGCUGCCAUUUGGUGAAACUGAACCACUGUGUAGUACAGGGACUCUCUUUAGAAAUCUGAUGGGAGAACAGCAGAUUUGUUUUCUGCUUAUAGGAAUCUGCUAGCUUCCACUGUGCUGUAUUUGAACAUUGUCAGUGAAGAAAAUAUUACAAAGACGAUUGAGUUUC